rnacentral:rRNA from 1 species
CUUCGGCUACCACUUACAGAUGGACCCGCGGCGCAUUAGCUAGUUGGUGAGGUAAUGGCUCACCAAGGCGACGAUGCGUAGCCGACCUGAGAGGGUGAUCGGCCACACUGGGACUGAGACACGGCCCAGACUCCUACGGGAGGCAGCAGUAGGGAAUCUUCCGCAAUGGACGAAAGUCUGACGGAGCAACGCCGCGUGAGUGAUGAAGGUUUUCGGAUCGUAAAGCUCUGUUGUUAGGGAAGAACAAGUACCGUUCGAAUAGGGCGGUACCUUGACGGUACCUAACCAGAAAGCCACGGCUAACUACGUGCCAGCAGCCGCGGUAAUACGUAGGUGGCAAGCGUUGUCCGGAAUUAUUGGGCGUAAAGGGCUCGCAGGCGGUUUCUUAAGUCUGAUGUGAAAGCCCCCGGCUCAACCGGGGAGGGUCAUUGGAAACUGGGGAACUUGAGUGCAGAAGAGGAGAGUGGAAUUCCACGUGUAGCGGUGAAAUGCGUAGAGAUGUGGAGGAACACCAGUGGCGAAGGCGACUCUCUGGUCUGUAACUGACGCUGAGGAGCGAAAGCGUGGGGAGCGAACAGGAUUAGAUACCCUGGUAGUCCACGCCGUAAACGAUGAGUGCUAAGUGUUAGGGGGUUUCCGCCCCUUAGUGCUGCAGCUAACGCAUUAAGCACUCCGCCUGGGGAGUACGGUCGCAAGACUGAAACUCAAAGGAAUUGACGGGGGCCCGCACAAGCGGUGGAGCAUGUGGUUUAAUUCGAAGCAACGCGAAGAACCUUACCAGGUCUUGACAUCCUCUGACAAUCCUAGAGAUAGGACGUCCCCUUCGGGGGCAGAGUGACAGGUGGUGCAUGGUUGUCGUCAGCUCGUGUCGUGAGAUGUUGGGUUAAGUCCCGCAACGAGCGCAACCCUUGAUCUUAGUUGCCAGCAUUCAGUUGGGCACUCUAAGGUGACUGCCGGUGACAAACCGGAGGAAGGUGGGGAUGACGUCAAAUCAUCAUGCCCCUUAUGACCUGGGCUACACACGUGCUACAAUGGACAGAACAAAGGGCAGCGAAACCGCGAGGUUAAGCCAAUCCCACAAAUCUGUUCUCAGUUCGGAUCGCAGUCUGCAACUCGACUGCGUGAAGCUGGAAUCGCUAG